GCCCAGGUGGCGGAACUGGUAUACGCGCACGACUCAAAAUCGUGUGGGAAUUCCCUUGAGGGUUCGAGUCCCUCCCUGGGCACCA
rnacentral:tRNA from 1 species